AUUGAACGCUGGCGGCAGGCCUAACACAUGCAAGUCGAACGAGUGGCGGACGGGUGAGUAAUGUCUGGGAAAAUGCCUGAUGGAGGGGGAUAACUACUGGAAACGGUAGCUAAUACCUCAUACCAUCAGAUGUGCCCAGAUGGGAUUUGCUAGUAGGGGAGGUAACGGCUCACCUAGGCGACGAUCACUAGCUGGUCUGAGAGGAUGCCCAGCCACACUGGAACUGAGACAGGGUCAAGACUCCUACGGGAGGCAGCAGUGGGGAAUAUUGCACAAUGGGCGCAAGCCUGAUGCAGCCAUGCCGCGUGUAUGAAGAAGGCCUUCGGGUUGUAAAGUACUUUCAGCGGGGAGGCGUUACCCGCAGAAGAAGCACCGGCUAACUCCGUGCCAGCAGCCGCGGUAAUA
rnacentral:rRNA from 1 species